rnacentral:lncRNA from 1 species
ACACCUGAUCUGCAGACACUUUUGUAAGACCAGAACUGGAACUGCAAUGGAGUGCUGUUCCCAUUUGUGGCAUUUCCAAUGUAAAAAAGGAACGCUGCUCAUGCAGCUGUGAAGCUGCUUUGAGCAGCAGCAAAGCUGGCUUUUUAAAGGGUGGAGGAAGAGAACUCCUUACCCGUAGGAAUGGUAAGAAUUAAUUCCCUGAAAGUUGCCAAAUUACCCCUUUUGUGGUAGACAAAUAGUACUGCAAAACUACUAUUCCAGCUUUAAUUUAGCCUCGAGCUACCAAGAUGCGUUUUGAAAAUAUAGGGUUGAAAUUUGGGGUUUGCCUCUUCCAACAUGUUGCCUAAGCUAUGGUGCCCAGAAUAGUGAAAAAUAGAAUCCAGGACUACACAUGCUUCAUGCAUCCACCUACUCCUCUUCAGCCAUCUGGAGAGGAUGAGUAACAUCCAUUUUUUCAGAGAUGGAUAAUCAGCAAAUGAAGAAAACAAAGCCGCCCUGAUCUUGCAGUGAUGAUCCAAGAGAAUUCUGUGCAGGUAUCGUUCUUUGGGUUGGGAAUCACACUCACAAACUUAAGAUCAUAAGGUCAUGAAUCACUGGCAGAGCAUCUUCCUUUGCAUGCCAAAGGUCCCAGAUUCAGUCCCUGGCAUUUGCAGCUAAGGUUGGGAAAGCUAAAUACUGUCAGCUAAAUAGACCAAUGGCCUGACUCUGUUCUUCCUGGCUCAGACCAAAGGCUGUUUUCACAGUGGCUGACCAGAUGCCUAUUCAAAGUCCACUUGUGAUUCCCAGCAGCUUGUGUUGGAUUGGUGGGCUGAACCCUUUUAUCCAGUACAUAGAGCUUUCUGGAUUGGGAUCAGGUGGUCAGUUCUGCGAACCACGAUACCUCUAUUCAUCAGCAACUGUUGGUCUAAGUCUAAGAGCACAAUUUUUAGCCAAGUGGCACAAGCAACAGAACCGAGUUGUGCGCCUCUUGCCUAAUUUGUACCAUUUCAAAUUGCAUCUCUGAAUGCUUCUCCAAACAAGAAACUAACUGCACAUAGAAAACUAGCUAGCAAGGCUAGGCUGCUCUCCCUGUUUCAUACGUGCAGGAAGCUUUAUAUAUAGGGGAAUCCAGAGCCGUCUUUCCCAUAGGGCUUAGGGGUGUGUAGCGCCAGGGUGCUGGCCUCUAAGGACACCCCAGCAAAUGGGGGAGUCACGCAGCUUUGCCAGCGGCCUCCCCUUUCCCUGCAUGCCUGCCAGCUGUGCAUUGCCAACCAUAAGGCUGUUGGGCAUGCAGCUUCCCUCCCAAACUUCCUCGGGAGUAGAGCGAUCCCCGCAGAGGCUUAGGAUGGAAGCUGCGCCCUGCCAACUAUAUGGCUGGCGGGCACACAGCUUCCCUCCCAAGUCUCCCAAGCCUUUGCAGGGAUCACUCUUCUCCCGAGGAGGCUUGGGAGGGAAGUUGCGCCUCUCCCAAGCCUCUGCGGGGAUCGCUCUCCCGCAGCAGCAUGGGGGACAGUUGCGCCCCCCCCGGAUGGCUGGCAGUGCGCAGCUAUGGCCACCCCAACACUAUCCAAGGUAAUUUGGGGGCACUGGGUGGGUAUUUGCACCCCGGCACUGCAUCUGCUAAAGACGGCCCUGGGGGAAUCAUUCAAGGAGGUUAAGCCAAAAUGAAUGGUCAGCCUGGGCUUCCGCCUUCUCAAACCACACUGACCAGGUGGCUUUGUGAGCCAUGAGAUUGAGGGAAACAAAGAAACCAAUCAUUAAACUGCUACAGGGAGACUGAUUCUCAUUUCUGGAUAGCCGCUACCAGGAAGAGAAAGGAUCUGAGAUUUGCGCAAUGGCUGGAGAAUGUCGCUUUUUUAAGGUGCCUAAAUUACCAUGCACACAAGGCCUCUGGGUUUAGAAGGCGGCAUAAUGAUAAAAUGAGGCACACAGAGGUUUUUGAUCUCUUAAGUUUCCAUUCUAAUGUAAACAAUUCUAAUGACUCUUUAUUUUUGCACAAAUUGCUGGAGUAUGCACUUAGGGUGUCAUGUACAUCUUUCCUCUCAAGGAGUUGCUUUGCGGUCCCCGUUUUGUCUAAUACUGUAAUCCUUACAUGUGUUUUGCUUUCAUGUAGUGCAGACAGUUUUGAUAAGUGUCUUUAAAAGGGAGGGGGGAGGACUGAACUUCACACACAGCUGAAUUUUUAUAAGUCGUGCCAGAAAUAAUAAAGUGUAGCUUACAUAUAGUACAUUAUCUUGUGUUCAAACAGUUCAAUCAGCUCUACACUGGAGUAUGCUAAAAUCUCCUUUGCUGUAAGUUACCCAGCCCCCUUUAGACAACUAUGUUGAUGAAGGAUGGGGGAAAAAUAUCUGAACAAUGAAACCAAAUACUAAGGAAGAAUCCUAGAACUGCUCCCCCCACCUCAUCUGCACACCUAGAAGGAGUUAGAACUAUUGACGUUAUUAAAAUUGAGCAUAUGGAAGCAAACUGGAUGAAUAAAAAAUUACUCUUAUUUGAAACAAAAAUUAUCCAGUCCAAAAAUUUGGUUCAAAAGCUUCACUACAUAACUUCACUCCAAAACAAUUUGAAACAAAGUUACAUUCAAAUAGUUGCUUAAUAUCUUAUACUGACCCCAGCAUUGGUAAAAUAUAUUGGAUGAUGUUGAGUUAAAAAUCAAAGCUCUGUCUCUUCUCCAUUCCAGCCUCAAUUAGCCUGAGGCUGUUUUCCUGGAGAUAGAUUACCAUGUCCAUUCUUUCCAGUAGCUUGAGAACAAAGAUUACUCCAUCCAAGAUGAAAACUUACAGAUUAGCAUAUGCAUAGACCUAUAUCACUAUAUCUUGCAUGUGAUUUAAACACCCCGUUACUGAGCCACAAAGACACAGUCCCAUGAUAGAGCUCCACUAAUGAUUAACUUGUGCCAGGGUUUCCCAGCUUGGCUCUCCAGCUGUUUUUGGACUACAGUUCCCAUCAUCCCCGACCACUGGUCCAGCUAGCUAGGGAUGAUGGGAGUUGUAGUCCAAAAACAGCUGGAUACCCAGGCUCUCUUCUCAGCUCUUCUUUAGCUUCAGUGGAAAGUUGCAUGCCAUGCUUCAUAGUACUCUAUGCGGGCAUAUUACAGAGUUAUCUUUCAUUUUAAUGUACAUUAAACAAUUAAACUUAACAAGGACCGGGAAGAGGUGUCCCUCAAUCUGGCUGUGCUGGGUUCCACUGCUGGAGUGUGUGCACUCUGUCAUGACAGAAGCCACUGUGCCUGCUUGAUGGUUGGGCUACUAUUGGUCCUGUCUGCUCAAUCCUCCGGCUGCCUGUCUUUGCAUGCAGGGGAAGUCCCUAACUCACUGAGGAUUUGAGACCCAUUGGCAGCCUUCAACAGGGUUAGAUUGCUGGUUGAGGUUGUUCCACUCUAUCCAGUAUUAGGGGAAGGCUGGGAGACAUAAAGUCCCAAAAGCUGAAGAGUAGAUUAGUGGAGGUAGAGAAAAAUAAAGACACCUAGUUGGAGAUAGCUGGUUCACAGCUCGCAGGAUACAACAAGUAACUGAGAAUUUCAACUCCAGGAUCCAAAUUGUAAAAUUUACACAUUGCAUGAUUGUGGGGAGGGGGACGACGACCUCAAAGCAGUUUAUAAAAAUAAUAAAACAAUAAAAUUAUCAGUAAAGACAGUUAAAAGCCAAUGUUUAAAACAUUUAAAAAGCCAUGAUAAACGAAAAACAUUCAUCAACAUUUUCCAUAUUUGGGUAGGCUUGUCAAAAACAAUAGUGUUUUUUGUCAAGCACCUACUACCAUUUGAAUCUGCCUCCUGUUUUGUUUUUAAAUUAGUUUUAUCAAGGAUUUUCCGUAAACAAUUAACAAGAAAAUAAACAAUUAAAAAUGUGAAACUACAACAUCUCCGCAGGCAUUCAUUAGCACAAUACAACCUAACAUUAGAGUUUAUCCUAGCAAUAAAGUAGACAAAAAAGUGUCCCUCCCUCCUUUUAAAAUAUCAGACAGGCCCUUUCUCUGUAAUUUUUUCUCUGUGCUUAUUACAGACCUUACUUUCCCAACAAGCCUUUUAAGUGCAGAUUUUUAUCCUCGUCUGCAUCUGUAUUAGACUUGAAAUUACUUUUUGGAUUGUAAGAAGGAAUCAGUGGGUUGUUAUUCUUUCCCCUAAAGCUCCAUCAGGAACAUGGGUGGCGCUGUUGUUUAAACCACUGAGCCUCUUGGGCUUGCUGAUCAGAAGGUCAGUGGUUCGAAUCCGUGCGACAGGGUGAGCUCCCGUUGUUCGGUCCCAGCUCCUGCCAACCUAGCAGGAAGUUAAACGGCGUUUCUGUGCGCUGCUCUGGUUUCGCCAGAAGCGGCUUAGUCAUGCUGGCCACAUGACCUGGAAAAACUGUCUGUGGACAAACGCCGGCUCCCUCGGCCUGUAAAGCGAGAUGAGCACCGCAACCCCAGAGUCGUCUGCGAGUGGACUUAACUGUCAGGGGUCCCUUUACCUUUACCUUUUAAAGCUCCAUCAAGGCACUCAGGAAUCUUGUGCAACCUACUUCCCAACCUCAUGUCACAUAUCUCUAAAUCUUCUUUCCCCUUCUGAGUUUUUAAUCACUUUCGAGAACAGGCCUGGAAUGAUGCCAGCCGACAAUUUUUUAAAAACACAAGAGCACAAAAUUACCAAACAGGUGUAUACUACAAUCUGAAGAAUGCAGAAGACCAUUUCUACGAGUGAAGCCAGACAGUAUUCUUGCUCUGAACCCAGGACAAGCCCAUGCAGCCAAGAACUAGGCUUUAUUACUCUUUGGCGGCAAGUCAUACCUGUGAUGCAUCACCCUUUGAAACAGUGAACUCUGACAAUUAUGUAAUUAUAUGAGACCCUUGCAUGCUGGCCUUGAGUCAAGAGAGGCAAAAGAAAGUGCUUCUUUCCACAAUGCAUAAUUGACUUGGAGGAAUUUGCUGCCUGAAAAUAUGUUGGUGGUCACUGGCUCAAACUGGGAAUGGGCAACCUGUGCCCCCCCCCACAGAUGUUGCUGGGCUCCAUCUUGCAGGACCUGGCAUUGGAUUUCCCAUACCCCAACCCAAAUAAUAAGAGACCAAAGAGACUGGUUUUGGGUCAAAACAGGCCACAACUUUAUUGAAUACAGAUGAAAGAGGUCUGGCUUGGGCAUGGGGCAAUCUAAAAACCUCCAGCCCGUCUGCCGGAAGUGACACAUGGUCAAUCCAGGUGGGGGUUCCUAAGACUUACAUCCAAUAGGGUGAACCCCACAAAGACCGCCAUCUGGGGGAGUGCCUUCGGCCCUGGCCCCGCCUGGGCACACGGAAAUGGCUACUCCCCCCGGAUCCCUUUAAUGGGACACCCCAGCGUUUGGAGGGGCAGGCAGGGACUACAACCUCCUCUCCGUCCAAAACAAAGGAUUGCCCCAAUGCCCAACCAGUUGCGUGUCGAGGUCCCCAAUCCACCCCCAAAAUAACUCACAACGGACAUGUAAUUUUUUGUUUAAGAUUUUUGGCAUGAUUUUGGCCACAACUUUAUUAAAAUACAAACCGUGAGUGGUUGUUUAGGCAUUGGUUAAGACUAUCUGUCCCCCCGCCUGGGGACAGAACUGACUUCCGGGCACCACCGAAAGACAGUGCGGGGGAAAGCAAGUCGGGGAGAAAUGGAGCUGAGUCACAGACCCUCAAUUCUCACCCGCCUGCUCCCCGAAGGCUUGCCGGCCCUAGUCCCAUUCCAGGGAUUGGACGAAAAGAUGGCAAGCCCCAGGAUUCCUUUAAUGGAAUUCCCUUUCCGCAGCAACCAUGGAGGGGCAGGCCCAGCCUAUCCUAACCCCUCCUCCACCAGAUUUAUAACCAAUGCCUAACCACAACCUUACAAGUUGUGACGAUUUGCUACGCAGUAGGCAAAAACCACCCAGCCAGCCAAUUUGUCAGGUGGAAAAAUUCCUACCAGGCCCCUGCUCAAUGGCAGACGACCCCAUGACAGGCAUAGCAAGGUCAAUGCAACAACCCCUUACUCUAGGGCGGGUGGGCGGGUGAUCCGUUGCACGCAGCAAAAGAGAAAGUACAAGGCUGCGUGCAGAGUAUUGAAACCUUUUACCCCCCCCCCCACCAAAAUUGCAACAUAACUUUUCCCCCAGCAACUCAGCAAUCCAAUCACUGCCCCCUGGCCAUCUUGGAGAACUUACCCAGCAACAAAGGGGGUGGCUCAGUAGACCCCACCGCAACACGUGCUCUCCCUGAAGGAGAACACGCUUUGUGACAAAUUGCUAUGAGGUAGGCAAAACCACUAGGCCAGUGUCAGUGCCAAUGGGCAAAUUCCUACCUGGUCCCUUAAAGGAGCAUCAUCCCCAGCUAACAUGGUCAAUGAUGAGAGGAACAGUAGUUCAGCAACAUCUUAAUUGGCAUAGGUUCCCCAUAUCGGCUUUAAAAUGUGACUUCAUAGGGGAAUUCGACUCAUUAGACUCAUGGAAGAUAGGUCCAUCAGAAGCACUAGACACAAUAGUGAAAUGGAUCCUAACACACUAUUUUAAUUGUUGUAGGUAGCGAUGUCAGAGAGUUUCGGCAAGAAAUGGAAAGGGGAAAGGAAAUUGCUAAAGUUCAUCCCAUGGAAAUCAGUGAAUAUGACUGGUGUUCACUGUUGCUGCUUUCAGUUCACCAAAAAAUAUGUAACUGAGUAUGGUCCGUCCCCACUCAUAUUUCUUUUGCAUUGAACUUGUAUAAUGUACAGAAUUAAAUUGGCAAGUUAUGUCAUUUUGCCACAGCAGACAAUGAGACAAAUAAUGUAGCUUUGAGGGGUGGAACAGAAAAUGGCAUCUUCUUAUAACUCUGGUUUUAAGCUACUCUGGCAAUGUGAAUGCAUUGGGAUGCAGGGUACAAAUCUUUCAUAUUAAACAAGCAAACAAAUAUCUGGACAAACGAAGUGCUUAAUUGGCAGGCCACACCCCUGUAGUCAGAGGCACUGUACCUGACUAUAAUGGAUGGUGUCUGGUUGACUUGCCGUUGCUGUUAUAUUGUGUCUUCUCUGUGCUUCUCUCAUUUUAAUUAUUUUACAUUUUAUGUCGUGUAUCUGAUUCUUUGCAAUAUUAAAUGAGUGCCCUCUGGUCCAGGUAG